rnacentral:rRNA from 1 species
GAAUAUUGGACAAUGGGGGCAACCCUGAUCCAGCCAUGCCGCGUGUGUGAAGAAGGCCUUCGGGUUGUAAAGCACUUUAAGUGGGGAGAAAGGCUCGGCAGCUAAUAUCUGCCGGGAUUGAUGCUACCCAAGGAAUAAGCACCGGCUAACUCGGUGCCAGCAGCCGCGGUAAUACAGAGGGUGCAAGCGUUAAUCGGAAUUACUGGGCGUAAAGCGCGCGUAGGCGGCUGAUUAAGUCGGAUGUGAAAUCCCCGGGCUCAACCUGGGAACUGCAUUCGAUACUGAUCGGCUAGAGUAUGAGAGAGGGAGGUAGAAUUCCACGUGUAGCGGUGAAAUGCGUAGAUAUGUGGAGGAAUACCGGUGGCGAAGGCGGCCUCCUGGCUUAAUACUGACGCUGAGGUGCGAAAGCGUGGGGAGCAAACAGG